UUUUUUUUUUUUUUAAUUUCUGAAUUUAAUUACACGUGUUACAGAAUGUCUAUGAAGAAAUCCAUUUAACAUAUUACCUGAUUUGUUAUAUUUUUAAAGUCAAAAUAAAGUUCUGUUUUUAAUUUUCGCAAAAAAUAAUUACAAAAUAAUUAGAUUAACAUAAAAGAUACGGCAAUCAAUUUUUGACAAUAACAGAAAAUAUUAUGGUUUUGUUGGGAAAGCAAGAAACUUUGAACCUGAAUUUAAAAAAUGAUAAAAUAUUUGAUUUUUAUUACAUCAUAUGAUAUCUUGAAAAUUAAAAAAUCUGUGAUUUUUAACAAUUUCAGAGCUUUAAUAUAGAUGAAUUUCAGUCACUAGAAAAGAUGAAUUGAUUUAUUUUUGUAAAAUUUGAUUUUAAUAUUGCACGUGCAUAUCUUUUCUUUCAUUUUUUGGGUACUAAAAUGGUCAUAACUAUUGAAUUAAAAGCUGAAAUGAAUUCAAAUUUACCCUGAGGAUCUAUGAUAUAAAUGUCUAUGAAAUGGUGUCAACAAAUUUUCCAUUAUCAAAAUCGCGUGCGAGUGAAUGCGCGUGCAUUGUAAUUUUUGACGUCUAAAUUUAAGUAUUGGUGUAUAACAUUUUGAGAUUGCAAUGAAUAGGUUUGAAAAUUAGGUUGCAGGUAUGUUUUGGGCCUCUCAAUUUAUUAAUAGUCUCAAAAUCACUUGCCUGCACGCGCGUGCACGUGCGCUUAAUUCUAAUUGGACGAUUUUGAAAUCCCAAUAACUUUCCUAUGAGUGAAGCAAUCGAUACCAAAUUCAUAUAGUAAGUAUAUUGUUCAAAUGUCUAUUGAAUAGCAUCAACAAAAUUGCUGUGUGAUACUCACGCGCACGUGUAUGCACGUGCAUUGAUUUCGGUCUUUGUAGUUUUGAGUUGCCGUUAAUUUCUCGUUUUUCAUUGAACAAUUGUGAAACUUCUCUUGUACUCAUAUAGUAAAACUUCUAAUGUAUCGAGAUGGUCGAAUUAUUUAUAUGCACGUACGUGCACAUGCACAAAACUCUCAGAUCUUUAUAACUGAUUUGAACUAGUAUGAAAUGGACUGAACGUUAUAAGAUAGUUAUAUAUUCACACGCUACACAGUUUGUAAUGGUCAAAACAACUUGUACUGAAAUAGAUGUCACCACUUACUAAAUGGGGUUAUGUUUGGGGAACAUCUGUAACGGUCCCCGUUACAAUAAGUACUAGUUUUGUACAUCCUUUUCUGCUAUUUUUAAGCAUGCCUUUAGAUUUAGAAAAUCGUUUCUACGAUUUAGAAAAUCGUAGAAACGAUUUAAAAAGUCGUUUCUACGAUUUACAAAACCGUAGAAACGAUUAAAAAAAGUUUAAACGAUUUAGAAAAUCGUACAAACGAUUUAUUAAAUCGUAGAAACGAUUUAAUAAGUCGUUUCUACGAUUUAGUAAGUCGUUUCUACGAUUUAUUAAAUCGUAGAAACGAUUUUAAAAGUCGUUUCUACGAUUUAAAAAGUCGUUUCUACGUUUUAAUAAAUCGUAGAAACGACUUUCUAAAUCGUAGAAACGACUUUCUAAAUCGUAGAAACGACUUUUUAAAUCGUAGAAACGAUUUAAUAAAUCGUAGAAACGACUUUCUAAAUCGUAGAAACGACUUUUUAAAUCGUAGAAACGAUUUAUUUUUAUUUUUUCUGCUAGGUAAAUUGGCGCGAAUACGCCGUCGUAAUGUACAGUCACUGGAAUAAUCCUGAUUAAAUUUUAUCUUUCUUGUCGAUAUCACUGACGCGGAUGAGGUGAUAAUUGCACAUAUCAAACAUGUGAUCGCUAUUUUAGAUUGUACCAUGCUUUGAUCAUAAAUACCUGUAUAUAUAAGUAUAAUAACUGUGAAAAAGAAAACAAUACUUCUUGUUAGAUACAAAGAUUUGUUUAAUAUCGUUUAAAAAACACCAUUCUCUUCGUAAAAUCAUGCAUAGAAUGAAGAAUGUCCGUUUUCGGUUUUCUAUAAAACAUCGCAAUCCGGGACAGUCGGGAGUCGGCAGUACUAGAUUUACCGCCCACCGCGAUAAUUACAUUCCGUGAAAGCUGAACCAACAAAGAAACAUCAUUGUUCUAGCCAGUUUGCUUAUAUUAACUUUUAGGAAAACCAAGAGGUUGAUAACAAUGGCUGAUCUGCAUAUAAUGACUGCUAGUUAUUGGCUGGUAUGCAGUGAAAGGGAGCUAAAAAGGAGUAAAAAGUUCAUAUCAGCCAGGUAGUGUGGCUUAAAUAAACCAGUGUUAAGGAAUAUCCAGUAAUGGCAUGACAUCAUGAGAGUUUGGCAUACCGACAUUCAGAUGAUUAAUGAUGAAACUGAAGACCUCAAGUGAAAGGCAUGGAAAAUGAUCCUGUUCCCAUAUACCUGAAAAAGAGGAGGGAUGCCACAAUAUUGAUAAUAGACUUUUGUCAAUUUGAGAAGCAAAGAUGUAAAAAAAAAAAAAAAAAAAAAAAAAAAAAAAAAAAAAAAUGCUGAAAUUAUAAUUCAUGUAUUUGUUAAAAAUACUGUUCACUGUACAUACAUGUAUAUUUUUUUUAACUUAUUUGGAAAUACAUGAAGUAAUUCAUAUUAAAACUGGGAAUGUAUGAGUUUUCAUGAUUUUUAUCAAUAAAGCUUACCAUAUUUAU